CCUACGGGAGCAGCAGUGAGGAAUAUUCCACAAUGGGGGAAACCCUGAUGGAGCGAUGCCGCGUGCAGGAAGACGCUUUUCGGAGUGUAAACUGCUUUUAACAAGGAAGAUUAUGACGGUACUUGUAGAAUAAGGACCGGCUAACUACGUGCCAGCAGCCGCGGUAAUACGUAGGGUCCAAGCGUUAUUCGGAAUUACUGGGCGUAAAGCGUUCGUAGGCGGUUUGAUAAGUUGGAUGUGAAAUCCUGUGGCUCAACCACAUGGACUGUGUCCAAAACUAUCUGACUAGAGCAUAGUAGAGGCAAGUGGAAUUUGCGGUGUAGGAGUGACAUCCGUAGAUAUCGCAAGGAACACCAAUGGCGAAGGCAGCUUGCUGGGCUAUUGCUGACGCUCAGGAACGAAAGCGUGGGGAGCGAACGGGAUUAGAUACCCCCGGGUAGUCCCACGACCGUAACGAUAGAUCACUACGACGAGUAGUAGGAGAGUUACGUACCCUACCUGUUGUUGUCGACACGACGUAACCGUACCGGUUAACGUUAGUAGUCCGUCCGUCGGGGUAGGGUACGGGGACCGGGCGAACGUAACGUUAAACCGUUAACCGUUAAACGGUUAAAGUUAGUUACGGUUCGUGAGACGUUGCCGACGGACGACGACGAGGGGAGGAGG
rnacentral:rRNA from 1 species